GAUGAACGCUAGCUACAGGCUUAACACAUGCAAGUCGAGGGGCAGCAUGAACUUAGCUUGCUAAGUUUGAUGGCGACCGGCGCACGGGUGAGUAACACGUAUCCAACCUGCCGAUGACUCGGGGAUAGCCUUUCGAAAGAAAGAUUAAUACCCGAUGGCAUAGUUCUUCCGCAUGGUAGAACUAUUAAAGAAUUUCGGUCAUCGAUGGGGAUGCGUUCCAUUAGGUUGUUGGCGGGGUAACGGCCCACCAAGCCUUCGAUGGAUAGGGGUUCUGAGAGGAAGGUCCCCCACAGUGGAACUGAGACACGGGCCAAAGUCCUACGGGAGGCAGCAGUGAGGAAUAUUGGUCAAUGGAAGAGAGUCUGAACCGGCCAAGUAGCGUGAAGGAAGGCUGCCCUAGGGGUUGUAAACUUCUUUUAGACGGGAAUAAAGUGAGGCACGUGUGCCUUUUUGUAUGUACCGUAUGAAUAAGGAUCGGCUAACUCCGUG
rnacentral:rRNA from 1 species